UACGGCCAUAUCACAUUGAAUCAACGGUUUCGCAAGAUCACCGAAGUUAAGCAACGUCGUGCCUAGCCAAUACUUGCAUGGGUGACCGCUUGGGAAUACCAGGUACAGU